rnacentral:misc_RNA from 1 species
GACAGAGGGUGCGAACGUUGCUCGGAAUUACUGGGCGUAAAGCGCGUGUAGGCGGAUUGGCAAGUCAGAUGUGAAAGCCCUGGGCUCAACCCAGGAACUGCAUUUGAAACUGCCAGUCUUGAGUAGUGGAGAGGGAAGUGGAAUUCCUGGUGUAGAGGUGAAAUUCGUAGAUAUCAGGAGGAACACCGGUGGCGAAGGCGGCUUCCUGGACACUAACUGACGCUGAGACGCGAAAGCGUGGGGAGCAAACAGG